rnacentral:lncRNA from 1 species
ACUCACGCACACCCCGAGUGGGUGUGAUCUCAGAGCCGGGAUGCGCUCUCGCGCCCGGAGUUCACACUGGGCCUCGACCAAAACCUCCAGAGCAGGCAAGCUGCCCUUUGGGCUACGCUGAUCUUCAUCUUUGGAAAUACCAAUCAUCUUUCACAUGGAUGGAACCCUAACACGAAAAACCUGACACUUAACUCCUCAAAUAGGGGAUAAUCAAACUUCUGUAAGAAUCACCCUGGACACAACUGGUGAGUUUGUUCAUAACUAAUGCACAGACAUACACACUUAGCAGACCUCACAAAACUCUGCCUUUCUAUCAAACAUUAAAACAACUUGAAUUGAGAGGAACAGGGAAGGCUUCCUGUCUUUAAACAAGCAGAGUUGAAAAGUGUCUAAGGUAGUUUGUCAAUCUAAGUGGUUUAGAAAAACUCAGAAACAUUUAAUUAAAACAGCAUGUUUCCUUACAGUUCUCAAACGAACCCCUGCCAAUUGUGGGAGGCCAGUCUACGUGCUCCUGCAUUGUGGAGUUCUGCUCUAAACCUGGAGGGUUGGGGGGGAAGUGGCCAUAUCUUCCUCUGCUUGGGUGACCAGCUUCUAGUUUGCCCAGAACUGAGGGUCUUCGGGGUGCAGAACUUUCAGUGCUAAAACUGAGGCAUUCCCAGGCAGCAAGGCCAAAUUUUUCACCCCAACUGGAUCCUUGGCCUCUCUCCAGGAAGGAUGCUUCCCACAUGCCUCCCUCAAGGCCAGAAGGAGCUCUCCUGAGUGGUUCCUUGUUCAGAGUAAACUGCUGAACUUCAGACCACUUUUUCCAAACCUCUUUCCUCCACCCUGCUUAGCCACGCUCACCAACUAGGCUCCUGAAGACCCCAGUUGCCCCUCCUCAGCCCUGAAAACCCAACCCCCAACCCCACAGGCAGCUGAUGGGGGCAGGGAAGGUGAGGGGCUGCAGGCACAGAUGGGAAGAGAGCAGGCACAUAAAAAGGCGGGUUGCCCCGCCCCUCUGGUAGCUGUAUUCCUGAAGGGGGGUGGUGGGUUACUGCAUGUUGGUUUUCAAGUUAGCAACUUGGGCUUUCUAGAUUCAGCUCUUUCUCUCUUGAAGAUGCUCCUACUUGCUUCUGGUUCUUUCUCGCUCCUACUAAAGCAAAAAGAAUUCGGAACUAACAAAAGCCUGCCUUGGCCCGUUUCCACUGGUGCUAUCCGCAGCCUUCUCUUUGCACCAAUAAAUCUCUUAUUUCUAAACUUCUUCCUCAAAAGAAAAUUGGGAAUGGCACAGCUUUAGUCCCGGGUUCUAAGGUGAAACUGUUGGCUUCUCCAGAAGUACAGGACAAGAAAGAGUUGGCUGAGCCCCUAAUGACCCAACCUCAAGGGAUAGCAUAGCAGGGUUUCUAAAAUUUCCUCCUCUCACUCCCCCACAUCACUGUGAAAACCUGUGUUCUCCUGCAAAGUUUGUAGGUUGGAAGAUGGGAAACUUCAAGGGACUGGGGUUAUUAUUGUCUGCCUUCUGUGAGGAUCAGAGCAGCCUAACCCUAGUAGGACCAUAAAGAGAAGGAAAGCUGGAGGUGGGGGGGAGUGGGAUGGGAGGUGUGUGAAAUAAAACGAACCUAAGAUCCUGUGCUGACCUGUAGGCCUUUCAGCAUCUAGGUUACUCCCCUUUUCUGAGCGACAGGGAAGUGGCUGCUGUUCCAGGGCCCUAAGUACCAGGCGCUGUCUUCUAGGUGCCACUUUAUCUGUUCCUCUUGGGGUUGUGGCAGGCUGGCUAAGUGGCUCCUCAGACCUGAACUGCUAACCGGGGACUCAGCCCAGUCUCCCCUCUGACCCAGCCACAUAAGUACUGGCCACACAGCAUCCGUAAGAAGGCACUUGACACAACUAAGAUAAGGAUCUUGCUGCAGCUCUCUCCAAAGUUUAGGAUGCCGUUCCUUCUGGGCAGUGGGUGACUAAAACUAGUCCCUUUAUAUGCCUUUGAUGUAUGUUGUCUUAGUAUUGGCUUCUGCUGUGUAUUGGUCACAUAGAUAAUCUAUUUUCAUAGUCUCUUCUCUUACGGUUUAUUGUGGGGUAGUGUGGUUCCCUGUGCUAUCCCGGUGGGAUCUUGUUCACCCAUUCUGUGUGUAGUGGUUUGUAUCUACUGGUCACGAAUGCCUAACCCCUCCCCACCUCCACCUUGGCAAUCACAAUCUGUUCUCUAUUAGACCCUACUAAUUAUAUCAACUGAAUAUUCAUGGGAUGAAGGAGAAGUGGCGAGAGGUGCUUAUCAGCAUAGCUGACCCCUAGAAGGCCCUUGGGACCAUGUCUCUCUAACGUAAUGAAGCGGGGCUAUGCUGUCUCCUAUCACAGAAAUGCUCUCUGGGUACCAGACUGUCAGCAAGGACAUGAGCCAGAGAACUUGGGUAUUUGUGCAGGUUGAAACAGCAUUCUAAGAGCUUGUUACAAACUAAAACUGAACCCAGAUCACUUUUUUCCCUUAACCUGGCAAGGAUUUAAUACCCCUUAUCAAUAGCACCACUCUAAGACUCAGCUUGUUAAUGAAGUGAACCCAGGUCAUUCUUCCCUUAACCUGGAAAGGCUUUUAACACCCUUUAUCAAUCACAACAGUUCUCUGGUCAGGAUUCAUGUUUCCAAAAGGAAAUGACCUUAAUCCCAGUUGCAGUGUUUCAUGGCGACACACAGGUACCCUUGUGUCUUGUCUGUUCGGUCUUUCUCGAAGCAACAUAACUAGGAACUGGUGUAGAACCAAUUUAGACCCAGUUCUACUCUUGUCAGCUGGUUUCUAUUCCUUCUGUUCUUAUGCUGGAACCACGUGAAUUCAGUUGUAACCUCACUUCUUCCUAUCCUUGUAAACUUAGGCUUUCUCUGCUGCUGCAAUGCCAAAAGUUUUGGCAAUAUACUACCACUAAUCUCAACAAUCCUUUAGAAUUUUAGUGGGAGGGAUUGAGUAAAUGACCUUUGUUAUUGAAACUUUUGUUCUUAAAGUUAUACUACUAGAUUGAAUUACAGCCGUGCCAUGUUGCCCAUGCACGGAGAGGGAUUUCAAUUAUCCAAACAAUCUUUGGGAAGGGUGAUUUAAAAAAAACAAAAAAACCUUACUAAUCAUACGUAUAACCGGUACUUGAUCCAAUUCAUUGGGAGACCUAAAAGUACUCAAAUCUGUUUCAGUAUCUGGGAUAUCUCUUAAAACUCUCUUGAAACAGUUACUCUUU